UACGUAGGGUGCAAGCGUUAAUCGGAAUUACUGGGCGUAAAGCGUGCGCAGGCGGUGAUGUAAGACAGGUGUGAAAUCCCCGGGCUUAACCUGGGAACUGCAUUUGUGACUGCAUAGCUUGAGUGCGGCAGAGGGGGAUGGAAUUCCGCGUGUAGCAGUGAAAUGCGUAGAUAUGCGGAGGAACACCGAUGGCGAAGGCAAUCCCCUGGGCCUGCACUGACGCUCAUGCACGAAAGCGUGGGGAGCAAACAGG
rnacentral:rRNA from 1 species